rnacentral:lncRNA from 1 species
CCAGAUUAUGUCCUCGUAGAAAAUUUAAGACAUUUUUUAUGGAUUCUUCUCUCUUUGCUCUCACCAUGUGACCCAUAAGGGAAAGGGAGGUUAAGCUAAAGACACCAUCAGAUUAAACUUCAGAGCCCCCAGCUGUGACCUGCAAGACCCUAACUUUAGCCCUAAACAAUCAUUCUACCUUUAAGAAAAGGUGGGUUUACAAAAUGGUGCAUUGUCAGGACUCAGUAAGUGGCAUGCUAGAAGAGGCAACCCUGGAUUCUGGGGAUGCUCUGGACUACCGGACUUCAAAGUGUUCUCAGAAUAACUUGACUCCAAAAUGCACUGCUUCUUAUCAAUGUGCACAUUAGCGCCGCCCACCUCCUUGGUCCUCCCAUUUAGUUUCCGAAAAUCUGUUGCAACAUACUUAAUUCUCUUGUUUUAAGAGCAAGUUGAGGCUGUCUUGAAUGUGAGUACAGGGUUUGUUCUUAUAUAUCAAACAAGCUUGCACACAACAAGUGCUAAAUAUCUGUGCUUCCACUCCCGUUUUCGCUGCGUUUGGUGUAAUUUCAGAUCUGUUCCUCCGGACAUUGAACUCUUGCCAUGGAAGCUAGAGCACAUCAAAGCACAGCAAGUCUUUAGAGUUCAGAGUCUUUCCUGCUUCCCUACAGAGGGUCAAGAAUACAAACAUCCUCAAUUGGUGGCGCAGGAGGGAACAUCACUCCAUCAACAAAACCAAAAACCAAACAGGAAGCAGCAAAUGGCCAUUUCUGCUAUUUAUUCUAUGGUUAUUAAGUAAGGCAUAAUCUCUUUCAACAAGGUUUGUCAAUGGCCCUAAAAAAAUGCAGAGUACAGUCAUUUCAGCUAGUGGAAAGUCUGAUCUUAGAGGGAUAUGAGAUAAUUUCCCUAGUAAAUUUUCUUGCUACAGCUUAUAUAAGAAUGCUGGAACUUUGAAAUAAUUAGCCAUUGAUUAUUUUUCUCUUUAAAAAAUGAUUAGACAGAAAUUUAAUGUGUGCUGCAAUGUUAUGAGUCACUUCAGCCUUAAUUAAGUUUCUCAGACAUUUCCUUUCUAGAUUGAAGAGGAUGUACACACAGUGAGCAAGCUGAUGUUCUGACUUCUGGAUGCACUUCUAGUGCUGAUGCUGAGGUCUGCGAAACUAGCCAAGAUCUUAAAACUUAGCCUGUUGGCUGACCAUCCAACCCGGUCUCUUAGACAGCACCCCACUGUCCCCAACCACAUGCACAAAAAACCAAAACAACCCCCUCCCCAAAACAGGCUUCUUGUAUAUAUCCAAGUAAGCCUUGGGAAAACAGCAAGGACUGUAAUUUGUCUGUUUUAUGAAUGCUUCUAGAAACAAAUCAACAAGCCACUUAUCAUUCUUAAAAUGACUUGAACUUUAUUAGUUUCAAAAGAUAACUGGGCCUACUGCUUGGCAGGAAGUGGAGUUUGCUUAAUUCCUCUUGCACCCAGCAAAUAACCUGCCAAGGAGGGGAUGGUGAGAGUCAUCUACCCCUGGAACAGGCAAAGCCAGAGCAGAGCUUUGUAUGAAAAAACUGAAAAGUCCCCGUGGGUAUAAUUCAGUGACAGAGCACUUCUCAUGCAUGAAAAAGGCCUGGGUUUGACCCCUGGCACCCCGCCUCCCCCACCCUCAAAAGUAUAUAAUAUUAAAGUUAGUUUGUCAGUCUGGGUUUUUAUAUCACUACAUACCAACCAUUCUGUAGCCUCAAUGGUGCUACUCCACGUUGGAAAAGAAGCAAAAGCAAAACUCUUGUAAAUAUAUGUGCUAAACAACUGAGGCCAGUACUCAAAGUUGGCAAGUAUAGUCAGUAUGGGUACUACCAGUUUUUAGAAGUUAGUGCUCUUCUAUAAUAAAUAUUAUGUUCUAUAUGGAAAGAAAGCUUGCUCCCAGAUACACUUGUUUAUUUCAAGAAUAAACAAGUCAUUUAAUUCUGACUAUCGCAAUACCAGAAUUGUCUAUCCUGAGUUUAGAUUUAAAAACAGGACUAUCUAGAUGAACAAGGAUUGAAAAUAUGAAAUGAAACUGGAAUGAACUCAGAUGAUUCGUGGCAGUUCAAAAGCUCUAGAGAAUUUUACCAGACACAAGAGAAAUUUGUGAUAAAAUUGAAUAAAACUAUUUCAAUAAAAAUUUUCAACAGCAGAAAUGCUUAAAAGCAGCUAGAGUGGACCCUAAAGACACAAAGCUCUGGACACUAUGACAAUUUGUGGUCUUUGUUGUUAACUGGGAGUGCUGUGACUCUGCAGAAAAGUUUCUGUUUGUUUCUUUACUUGUUUUGUUUUUGUGUUUGUUUUUCAAGACAGCUCUGUGUUUUGUUUUUGUGUUUGUGUGUGUGUAGCUCUGAACUCUAUUUGUAGGCCAGGCUCGCUGGAACUCACAGACAUCUAUCUACCUCUGCCUCCAAAGGCAUGCACCACCACACAUGCAUACGGCUCGAUAAGCUUAUUUUAAAGGUUUUCUAUCUCUUGAAAUUAAGUCAAAUAAAAAUUCUUUACUCGUUUAUGAAUGGAGAUACUAUGUUCACCAUUCAGCUAACCAAGGAGAAUAUAAGAUUGAACUGGACAGAUCCACCAACUAAUCUGGAGAACCUAAUAAAGCCAGAAACCUAACAAGAUUAUUGUUCACAGUGUUACUAAGGUCGAAGUAUUUUUCUCCCCUUUUCAAAGGCUAUAAAAAUGUAAAUCAAAAAAUUUCCAUAAUUAAAUUAAAGGUAGGUUGUCACUUCUUUCCCCAAACAGCUUUCUGACAGCCAAUAGGCUCAAACCUAGAGGGCAAAGAAGCCCC